UCCCAGACUCCUACGGGAGGCAGCAGUGGGGAAUAUUGCACAAUGGGGGAAACCCUGAUGCAGCGACGCCGCGUGAGCGAAGAAGUACCUCGGUAUGUAAAGCUCUAUCAGCAGGGAAGAAGAUGACGGUACCUGACCAAGAAGCUCCGGCUAAAUACGUGCCAGCAGCCGCGGUAAUACGUAUGGAGCAAGCGUUAUCCGGAUUUACUGGGUGUAAAGGGAGCGCAGGCGGCCUUGCAAGUCUGAUGUGAAAAGCCGGGGCCCAACCCCGGGACUGCAUUGGAAACUGCGAGGCUGGAGUGCAGGAGAGGUAAGUGGAAUUCCUAGUGUAGCGGUGAAAUGCGUAGAUAUUAGGAGGAACACCAGUGGCGAAGGCGGCUUACUGGACUGUAACUGACGUUGAGGCUCGAAAGCGUGGGGAGCAAACAGGAUUAGAUACCCGGGUA
rnacentral:rRNA from 1 species